rnacentral:rRNA from 1 species
CCUACGGGUGGCAGCAGUGAGGAAUAUUGGUCAAUGGUCGGGAGACUGAACCAGCCAAGCCGCGUGAGGGAUGAAGGUACAGAGUAUCGUAAACCUCUUUUGUCAGGGAACAAAGGCGGGUACGUGUCCCCGGAUGAGUGUACCUGAAGAGAAAGCAUCGGCUAACUCCGUGCCAGCAGCCGCGGUAAUACGGAGGAUGCGAGCGUUAUCCGGAUUUAUUGGGUUUAAAGGGUGCGUAGGCGGUCUGUUAAGUCAGCGGUGAAAGCCCGGGGCUCAACCCCGGGCCGGCCGUUGAAAUGGGCAGGCUCAAGUUGGGGAGAGGUAUGCGGAAUGCGCGGUGUAGCGGUGAAAUGCAUAGAUAUCGCGCAGAACUCCGAUUGCGAAGGCAGCAUGCCGGCUCCACACUGACGCUGAGGCACGAAAGCGUGGGUAUCGAACAGGAUUAGAUACCCCAGUAGUC